rnacentral:rRNA from 1 species
AUACGUAGGGGGCGAGCGUUAUCCGGAAUUAUUGGGCGUAAAGAGUGCGUAGGUGGUUCUUUAAGCGCAGGGUCUAAGGCUACGGCUUAACUGUAGUUCGCCCUGUGAACUGGAGGACUUGAGUGCAGGAGGGGAAAGCGGAAUUCCUAGUGUAGCGGUGAAAUGCGUAGAUAUUAGGAGGAACACCAGUGGCGAAGGCGGCUUUCUGGACUGCAACUGACACUGAGGCACGAAAGCGUGGGUAGCAAACAGGAUUAGAUACCCUGGUAGUCCACGCCGUAAACGAUGAGCACCAGGUGUCGGGGUCGCAAGACUUCGGUGCCGUAGUUAACGCAUUAAGUGCUCCGCCUGGGGAGUACGUACGCAAGUAUGAAACUCAAAUGAAUUGGCGGGG